CUUUAAACCCGACNGCNCCCACUUAUUUAACACCUUCUUAUCCGCCUGGCCCCUGUCUGCUCGGUUUUGGGUUGGGGUGACCGCGGAGCAUAAAAUAGCCUCCACGAAAGAAGGGAUGAUUCCCUCAUUUUAGAACUACACUUCCAAAGACUAACAAAUUAAUUUUAAGUGAUCCGAUACCCGUAUUCGAUCAACGAACCAAGUUACCCUGGGGAUAACAGCGCAAUCUACCUCAAGAGCCCCUAUCGACAGGUGGGUUUACGACCUCGAUGUUGGAUCAGGGUAUCCCAGUGGUGCAGCAGCUACCAAAGGUUCGUUUGUUCAACGAUUAAACCCU
rnacentral:rRNA from 1 species